rnacentral:rRNA from 1 species
CCUACGGGCGGCUGCAGUGGGGAAUAUUGGACAAUGGGGGGAACCCUGAUCCAGCCAUGCCGCGUGUGUGAAGAAGGCCCUCGGGUUGUAAAGCACUUUCAGUGAGGAAGAACGCCUGGUGGUUAAUACCCAUCAGGAAAGACAUCACUCACAGAAGAAGCACCGGCUAACUCCGUGCCAGCAGCCGCGGUAAUACGGAGGGUGCGAGCGUUAAUCGGAAUUACUGGGCGUAAAGCGCGCGUAGGUGGCUUGAUAAGCCGGUUGUGAAAGCCCCGGGCUCAACCUGGGAACGGCAUCCGGAACUGUCAAGCUAGAGUGCAGGAGAGGAAGGUAGAAUUCCCGGUGUAGCGGUGAAAGGCGUAGAGAUCGGGAGGAAUACCAGUGGCGAAGGCGGCCUUCUGGACUGACACUGACACUGAGGUGCGAAAGCGUGGGUAGCAAACAGGAUUAGAUACCCCUGUAGUC